rnacentral:rRNA from 1 species
UUGGAAACUGUUAGACUUGAGUGCAGAAGGGGAGAGUGGAAUUCCAUGUGUAGCGGNGAAAUGCGUAGAUAUAUGGAGGAACACCGGUGGCGAAAGCGGCUCUNUGGUCUGUCACUGACGCUGAGGCUCGAAAGCGUGGGUAGCGAACAGGAUUAGAUACCCUGGUAGUCCACGCCGUAAACGCUGAGUGCUAGGUGUUAGGUCCUUUCCGGGACUUAGUGCCGACGCUAACGCAUUAAGCACUCCGCCUGGGGAGUACGACCGCAAGGUUGAAACUCAAAGGAAUUGACGGGGGCCCGCACAAGCGGUGGAGCAUGUGGUUUAAUUCGAAGCAACGCGAAGAACCUUACCAGGUCUUGACAUCCCGAUGCCCGCUCUAGAGAUAGAGUUUUACUUUUUGUACAUCGGAGACAGGUGGUGCAUGGUUGUCGUCAGCUCGUGUCGUGAGAUGUUGGGUNNNNNNNNNNNNNCGAGCGCAACCCUUAUUGUUAGUUGCCAUCAUUAAGUUGGGCACUCUAGCGAGACUGCCGGUAAUAAACCGGAGGAAGGUGGGGAUGACGUCAAAUCAUCAUGCCCCUUAUGACCUGGGCUACACACGUGCUACAAUGGUUGGUACAACGAGUCGCAAGCCGGUGACGGCAAGCUAAUCUCUGAAAGCCAAUCUCAGUUCGGAUUGUAGGCUGCAACUCGCCUACAUGAAGUCGGAAUCGCUAGUAAUCGCGGAUCAGCACGCCGCGGUGAAUACGUUCCCGGGCCUU